rnacentral:rRNA from 1 species
GACGAACGCGGGCGGCGUGCCUAAUACAUGCAAGUCGAACGCUUUUUCUUUCACCGAGACUUGUCUCACCGAAAGAAACAGAGUGGCGAACGGGUGAGUAACACGUGGGUAACCUGCCCUCGAGAAGGGGAUAACACUUGGAAACAGGUGCUAAUACCGUAUAACAAUAACUGCCGCAUGGCAGAUAUUUGAAAGGCGCUUAUGCGUCACUCGAGGAUGGACCCGCGGUGCAUUAGCUAGUUGGUGAGGUAACGGCUCACCAAGGCGACGAUGCAUAGCCGACCUGAGAGGGUGAUCGGCCACACUGGGACUGAGACACGGCCCAGACUCCUACGGGAGGCAGCAGUAGGGAAUCUUCGGCAAUGGACGAAAGUCUGACCGAGCAACGCCGCGUGAGUGAAGAAGGUUUUCGGAUCGUAAAACUCUGUUGUUAGAGAAGAACAAGGAUGAGAGUAGAACGUUCAUCCCUUGACGGUAUCUAACCAGAAAGCCACGGCUAACUACGUGCCAGCAGCCGCGGUAAUACGUAGGUGGCAAGCGUUGUCCGGAUUUAUUGGGCGUAAAGCGAGCGCAGGCGGUUCUUUAAGUCUGAUGUGAAAGCCCCCGGCUCAACCGGGGAGGGUCAUUGGAAACUGGAGAACUUGAGUGCAGAAGAGGAGAGUGGAAUUCCAUGUGUAGCGGUGAAAUGCGUAGAUAUAUGGAGGAACACCAGUGGCGAAGGCGGCUCUCUGGUCUGUAACUGACGCUGAGGCUCGAAAGCGUGGGGAGCAAACAGG